rnacentral:rRNA from 1 species
CCCUUAGAUGUCCUGGGCUGCACGCGCGCUACACUGGAAGUUACGGAUUGAGAUACUACCUUGUCCGAAAUGGUCCGGGUAAUCACCUAAAAGCUUGUCAUAAUUGGAAUGGAUUAUUGUAACUAGUAAUCCUGAACGAGGAAUUCCUAGUAAGUCCCAGUCAACAGCUGGUACUGAUUACGUCCCUGCCCUUUGUACACACCGCCCGUCGCUACUACUGAUUGGACGUUUAAGCAAGAUUUUUAAACACUGACAGUGUGUAGUUCACGCUAUACUAAAGUGAGAAGAAGAAGAUCGAGCUUACUUGUCUAGAGGAAGUAAAAGUCGUAACA